rnacentral:lncRNA from 1 species
UCGUUACUACAACACUCUCCGGUUGAACAUGAUGUACCAUCAGCUUGCCGUCCGCACCAACAUUGACUUUGACAAUGUCCAGGAGCACAAUAUUCUUGUGUGGUUCCACACUUACCAUCGUUACUACAACACUCUCCGGUUGAACAUGAUGUACCAUCAGCUUGCCGUCCGCACCAACAUUGACUUUGACAAUGUCCAGGAGCACAAUGUUUUGUUGUGUUUCCACACCAACCCCACGUACUACAACACAUUCCAUUAAGACAUUUUACGCCUGGAUUUUCCUUUCCACAUUGAACACCUUGUUCAAGGCCAAAGAUUGGGAGUUCAAAGGGAAGAGAUAGCUCAUCCUCAUCGGCUAACACCAACUUAAGGAGGAACAAAACCAGUAGAGCUAAGUUCAUUUUGUUAUAGACGAAGGUGAAUCAAUUGGUUUCAUAUUUAUACCAAAAUUAUGAGGGAACAAUCGAUAGCGACUAAUAUAUAUAUAACUAAAAAGCAACAAAUGAGAAUAGUAUUUCCUUCCGUUUGUUUUUACUUAAUCACCAUACUAAAAAUGCUAAUUUAAUUUGUGAGUUUCAAACCUUUCACUAUUUUCUCUCAAAUGAAAAUAGGUUGCAGUCUCAAAUUUUAAUGGAAAUAUAAAGUGAAAGAAUGAAGUCGAUCGGAAGAAGAGCUAAACUAAAGUGGAAAACCUAAUAUGUUUUUGCAUUCUCAUUCACCUCAUCAUAACUACUUACUUUAUUUUAAUGUAUUUAUCUCAAUUUUCAUUUUAGUUGAUUAUAUAUUUAAAAUUUAUAUAAAAUAUAAUACUGCAUAUUACAAUAGUUAAUAAUUUAAAAUAUUUAAAAAUAAUAUAAAAAAUUAGGUUGACUUUCCAAAUUUUAUUGUGCCAUAUAAAUUGGAAGGAAAGAGUAACAUACAUGAAUUAAAAAUUACAUAAAAAUGCUAUAAAUUAUAAUAAUUAAAAUUUAAAAUAUAUUUAAAAAACAUAUUAAAAUUUAAUUGAAUCUUUAAAUUUAAUCAAUACCUCAUAGAAAAUAACAUAUAUUGAGCUCACGGAAAUUCUGUAUAUAGUCCUCAAUAUGUUGAAGUAGGAUAACCAAUUAACACAGAAUAAUUAAUAAGUGAUAAGUACGAGAUGAUAAUACGUGAAACCAAAAGAGAGAAAUUAGAACUAAAGCGAAUAAAGAUCAUAAGACCCAAACAUGAAAUGUGAAUCAUCAUGCCCAAGGAAUUUAUUAAGAAAAAAAAAGACGAAAGUCUAAAAUCAAGUUACCCUUCUAUAUGUAUUUAUGGAAAAUUAUUUUAUGAAAAGAGAUUUAUUUUUUUAAAAUUUGGAUAAGGCAUGAUUUUCUCAUAAAUUGACAUUUUAAUUAUGUUUCAUAUUUAAAUACACAUAAUUAGAUAUAUCUGUUUAGCAUGUAUUUGGGAUAAAAAUAUAAAAAAAAAAACUGUAUUAUCAAAAAUUCAUUUAAAAAUAAAUAAUUGGCUUCAAAUUAGUGAUAUUCGUAUUGUUCCUUGAUAUAUUUGUGGGGAUGCAAAAAAAAGUUCAACUUUUAGGGUACAUCAAUAAGUAUUGCACUCUUCUACGUGCUAAUAAUAAUUGAAUUCUCAUUUUGGAUCAUUGUUUUAAAAAACUUUUUUCUUAUGUAUAUUCACAGAGGAAGAUUCUUCAGGUAAAAAAUAAAAUGUGUGAAAGUUCCUAAAAGAAAUAAUUUGUUAACCCAACCUAAUAGAAACACGUGACGAAAUCCUACGGAGAGACCCGUUUGACCAAUUAAUUAAACCCAAAAUUUAAAAACCAACCCAUUUUAAAAUAAACCCACCCGAAACCCUUUGACCCAAAUUAAAACACCCAGCUCCAAACCAGCUUGCCACCACCAAAACCCCGCCGGAAACACCUCCACGAACCAGACCCAUUUCACCAUUAGCCAUCAGGAAUCACCAUUGAAUCAACCUCCAUUUUCCAGCAAACGAAGCCAAAAUCGGACCCCAAACCAGUGACCAUCGAUACCCCUCCGCCUCAAGCCGAGCAGCAAGCAACAACCAAACAAAAGUCCAACCAAAAGUCACCAUAUCGCCGUAAAGCAGCCGGCGAGCUCGAAACUCGGAGCUCAGGCGAACAGCAACGAAACCCAUAUCCAGCCAGCAAGCUCAAAGCUCCAACUAAACAACUCUGGCGAAGCUCAAAGCUUCAGCAAUUUCCAACAACAGCAACCACCGGCGUGGCUCCAACUCCGAUAAUCUCUUUCACGUCAUUUUUCUUUUCAGAUCUUGCCGGUGGGGUUCAAACUCCGGCCAUCGUUAUUGUUAUUUUAUGAUUUUUAAUUACUAAUAAUUUUUCGGUGAACAUUGUUCUUUCUUCCCGUUUUAAUUGCUGUUGUUUAGGAUCUUGACUUAUUUUAGUGUGAGUGUGAUUUUCUGUUUAUCUAUUAUAUGUAGAUCAUGCAAGAAUAUGCAUUGUUGCAGGGGAAAUGAAAUUUAUGAUAACAACAACAUGAUGAAUUCCCUUUGCAUUAUCCUAAUGUGUUCUCUCACUCAGGCCUUGCAACAAAUGAAGACCCAAGACUUUCAAGAAUUAUCAAAAUCGUGUCUCUAUUCUAGACUAUAUGGUAGCCUUUGAAAGUUGUGUUUUUUCUGUGUAAAGGUCAUAAGAUUUGAAGGAUUUAGAGAGACCAUUAGCCUUGGCAGGUUCAAUUUGUAUGGAUUUAAGAAGAUGUGUGUUUUAAUUUGGUUUCGGGUGGAUUUUAAAUAAAAAUGGGUCGAUUUUUAAAUUUUAGGUCUAAUUAAUUGUCAAACGGGUCCCUCCGUAGAAUUGCGCCACAUGUCUUUAUUUGGUCUUUCGUUAGAGAGAAGGAUAAAUACGCUCUAAUUUUUGGACGACAGGAACACCAAUAUCCCAAAAGUAUGACGGAGAAUAUCUGCAUACUAUUUAUAAUAGUUCGAGAGUAUAUUUGUCCCUUUUCCCUUUUUUUAAAGUCAGUUAGAAAAGUAUAACUCUAAUAUAAAUGCAGCUGCAGUGAGUUGAUGAGAAAUAACUUCUCUUUCUAUAUUAUAGGUGUUACUCUUAAAUGUUGUACUAUAUAAUUUAAAUAUUUAUUUAUUGAGAAAAAGACUCAACAAUAAAACGAGUAGUUGUGAUGAAGAGUUUAUUUAGAGUUUAAAUUAUAUAUAUUAUUAGUGUAAUAUAAGUAACACUAUAUAUAUUAAAUAUUUAAAUUCAUUUAUUAAAUGAAAGAGGGGCAAAAAUAUCCGUAUCAUAUGAAAAAUGAUUUACAAGUAUAAAAAUAUAUACCUCAACUUAUAUUUUGGUUCAACAAUAUCCUCAAACUUAACACAAAAAAUAUAAUGACUUUUUGCGAUAUAAAAUAAGCCACAUAUCCAAAGUUUGCAAAUUAACAUCUUAUGACAGUUCUUUAAGAUGCAAUAUAAUUAAAACAAAAGCUUGAGUAUAGAACAAACUUAAAUAAUUACCGCUAUGGGAUAUAACAAACGUUAGCUCGUCCUUGAUUAAUUUUCUAGCUGCUCGAUUAGUAUUUUAGUACUAUUCAUGGUUAGUUAUAAUAAGUUACGUGGCUAUUUUAAAUUGAGAAAAAUCAUCAGAUGAGUGUUAAGUUUGAGGGAUAUGUUUGAGUCAAAAUAUAGAUUGAGGUAUUUUUAGACCAAAAUAUAGUUAGAGGAUGUUUAUGAAUUUUUUCAAAGAUUAGAGAUAUUUUUGGCCUUUUUUUGUUUUGUUUAUAAAAGGUACUAUAAUUGCAAGAUUAUUUUUCUACUAGUAUUUGUUUUCUUAAACUUUUGGGCAUGUACGUGCCAUUAAUUUAUCGUGAGUAUGCAAGAAAAAAACCUCCACUUUUAUUGGGUAUACCUUGUUAUGAUUGUACUAUUUUUUAUUUUGGUUUUUUAUUUGAUGUUCGGUGUCCAUAUUAGAGCUUGAUUAUUCUGGAUUCGCGUUAUGUAGGGCCCUAUUUUGGGGGAAACACUUCCUACCAAGGUUAUUCCAUACUCCUGGCUCGGAUCCAGAACCUCUGGUUAAGAAGAGCAACCUCAUUCGCUGCACCAGUGGUAUGAUUGUACUAUUCAAUAACUGAAUUCUCAUUUUUAAACUUCUUUUUUUCUUCCGUUAAUUUACAAGUUAUGCUAAAAAGUAUUUGAGAAUACUAUUUGAUCUAUUGAUCCUUCUGGAAUGGAAAUAAAUUAAAACUGUUUUUUUGACAUUUGUCUUCUGUUUACAAAUGAGGAGAAGUGUUUAAACAAUUGAAAUUAUUUUCUAAUUAAGAAAAAAUCCUCUUAGUGUUUGGUUGAAAACAAUUUAGAUACUGAAACAAGAAAAUAUAUUAUGAUACUAAGUAAAUAAUCAUCCUUUUUAUAUUCAAGUGAGAGAAAAUGACCAAAAUGGUCCUUGAUAUAUGGGUAAUGUUUUAGUUUAGUCCUUAAUAUAUUUCACUUGAUUGAAAUAGUCUCUAAUGUAUAAUAACAAUGUUCAUUUUGAUCCUUAAUAUAUUUCACUUGAUUGAAAUAUAGUUCUUAAUGUAUAAUAAGAAAAGUGUCCAUUUCAGUCCUUUAUCCUAAAUUUAACAAAUUUAUCAAAAAAAAAGUGCUAAAUAUAACUAUGAACUCUACGUGGCUAACAAAAUUCACCAUAAUUGUCUUCUUUGUUAGCUUUAAAGAAAGAACUUCAUAACUUCUAAUACGAUUUUUUCUACUUUCUCCAACAUAAUUUACUAUUUUCAAUUUCCUAAAAUAUUAUUCCACUGCCCUAAUAUAAUACUCAUUUAUGUUUUAAGCAAAAGAGAAAAUUAUAAAUUUUACUAGAGAAAGUAAAGACAAUUGUGUUAGAUUUUAUAAAGUUUUUCAUCAGAGCUAACAAAGAAGACAAUAAUGAUGGUUCUUGUUAGCCACAUCGAGUCCAUAGUUAAAUUUAACAUUCUUUUUAAUAAAUCUGGUAUGUUUAGGGUAAAUGACUAAAAUGAAUAUUUUUGUUAUACAUUAAGGAUUAUGUCAAUCAAGUGAAACAUAUUAAGGACCAAAAUGAACACCUUCAUUAUACAUUAAGUACGAUUUCAAUUAAGAGAAAUAUAUGAAGGACCAAAAUAAAACAUUACUCAUACAUUAAGGACCAUUUUGGUCAUUUUCUCUCGACAAGUUGCUUAAUUUUAAUAUAUCACAUUGAAUAUAAAAGGACGAUUUCCAGCUGGGAUCAUUGACAAUUCGUUGCUUCAUUAACGUUGUAGUACAUUUAAGUGGGCCGUAUUCGUUGCUUCAUUAACGUUGUACUACAUGUAGCUCACAAUUCACAAAUCACAUAAAAAUGUAAUAACAUUAGAUAAGCAUGAUGUGAUAAAGCUCGAAUGUCUAAAUUGACAAUGUACAUAUCAUAAACUCAUUUAUUAAACGAAAGAACAUUAAAAUAUUUUUCAUCCACCUUUUAAUCUAAAAAUACUAUCAACUUAUAUUUUGACCAAAACAUAAAAACCACUCAAACUUAACACACCCAAAAUUUGAAAACUAAUUUAAUUUAAAAUAGACCCAUAACCUAUUAAGUUAUUAUGAUUAACCAUGUAUAAUACUUAACUUAAAAAUUAAACCCACCCACUUUUCAAACCCAAACCCGCUGACCCGUUUGAACAAAUCCGGAUUAAAAUUCGAGACUAAUUGUAGAGUUGUAGUUAUUAUUAUAUUAAGGACUAGGAAUGGACCUCAUUUCCUUUCCCUAUUCCGCCAAAGAAGAAAAACAAUCCAGAGCUUUUGCAUACUAAAUUUGCAAAUUACGUUUUAUGACAGUGCUUUAUGGAGUUUGAUUUCAAAACGGACACUUUUUUUAUACCAUAUAUCAAAGGAAUCAUUUCUAAAACUACAAAUCAAAACGGACAUUUUGCCCACAAAUAAGCGAACUACCUUACCACGGUUCACUCUGUUACUUCCACAACAAAAUGAGAUUAGCCCAUAAAUGAGUGAACUACAAUUCAUUUUUUUUCUUUUUCCUUAUAAUUUUUCACGUGAAUGAAUAUCUUUUCUAAAUUUUAAGUGUAAUGUCAUGUCUAUCUAAUACAUAAAAUCUUGAGCUUUUUCAACGAUAAAUAAUUAAAUAUGUGUUCUUAUUCACUUCAAAUUUUCUCAUUCAUCUUUUGUCUGCUUCUACUAAUAAAAUAUUUUGAUCUUGAAAAUCGCUAGUCAUGUAUCAACAAUCUCAAAGGUCUGUAUACUUUUUUAUUUUUUUACUCCUCCUCAUAUGCUCCUAUCUUUGCUCUGUUGAUGACUCGAACUUACUACCUUAAGAUUGAAAGUGAAGAACUUAGCUUGAAGUUAAACAAUCAAGCAAACGUUUCCUGAGAUUCUUGAAUUAGUUUCUUGAAAUCUCUAUGGCCAAGAAUUAUGAUUUUCAUUAGUGAUUCAUAAUUGUACGGAGGAAUUUGAAUUGAAAAGAAGGAAUUCUUGGAGAAGAACUUACCUUGAAGAAGAAUGUUGAAAAAGAUGGAAAGAAUCUUGAAUGAAGUCUUCUACUUUGAUUUUUUCUUAGGAUUUUGCCUUAGGGUUUGAGAGAGAAGAGAAUGAUCUAUUAAGACAUGAAAAUCUUAUUGUUUUGGGUCUUUAAUUAGUCAAGAAAUUCGUUUAGGAUUUUCAUUGAGGUAAAAAGACAAAAACGAUCCUUUUUAAAUGGUCAUAACUUUUUACUCAAAAAUUUGAUUGUUGCGAAAUUGGUGGCGUUGGAAAGAAGAUUCAAAUACCUUUAAUUUGAUAAGUUAUAGGACACGUUACUCUUUAUAUUCUAAGAGAUAUGGUCGUUUAAAGUUGACUCAAGUAAAAUCUUACAUCAAAACUUAACAUUAAGGAAAUUACUUUCAAUUUUUCUAGAAGUUGUUAGUUACGUUAAUUAAUAUCCAAAAUCAUUCUCACACUAAAGAAUUUACCUUUACACAUAUGGGCAAUUUAAGAAUCACCCGAUAUGACCCUUCAAGUAAAUGAAGAAUGGUUCGAAUCUUAACUUAGAAAUUUUUGGGGUGUUACAUCAUAUCCUCAAUAUAGUAACAGUCAAUACACCAAUGCAAAUGAAAAGUCUUAAAGCGUGUUGAAAUUAGAGAUUAAAUUGCGCUCAAUUGAAGAUUCUUUUUAAAUGAUUUAAGGCUUGAAUGAGUUUAGAUUGACUUAAUUCAAAUUAUCUUGAGCCCAACUUAUUAAAUUCGAAGCAAGUUACCUAUAUUUAGGGGCCGUUUGGUACAAACAUUGAUAAUGCAGGGAUUAUUUUUUGUCAAGUGUUUGGUUCACUACUUUCCACUUAAUUUUGUGUUUGAUUUAAAACUCUACAAAAAAUUUCUUUCUUAUUAUACCCUUGUGUUAUUAUGAGUGUUUAUUUCAUGUAAUUGAGUCAAGGUAGAUAACCGAAGGACCUGACUUUUUUUUUUGUAGGAUUUUCUAUUCCAUAGUUAAAUCAAAUAUAUAUAUAUAUAUAUAUAUGUGUGUGUGUGUGUGUGCGCGCGCGCGUGCAUGCGUGCGUUCAUGUGUGUGUAUAUACAUAAAAUUGUUAUUAAUUAUAAGGUGUGAUGUGCUACUAAGAAGAUCAUUAAUGGCACGAUGUAUUUCUAAUUUUUUGUUGGUUAAGUAUAUCUUAAUCUUAACAUAGAUUUAAGACUACAUAAAUUGUUCAAUACCUAAAGCUUUUUUUAAAAAAAAAAAAAACAAAUAGUUCAAACAGGUAAUCGACAAACUAUCUUGAAUAAAAAAAAAAAUCAAGAAAAAAUGGAGAAAAAAUAUAUUAGUGAAAUCAUUAAAUUACACUAAACAGAUUUGGAGAAUUAAAAAAGAACAUUUAUAACCAUUCCAAUAUAAAUAAAAAGGAAAUUAAAUUACAAAAUAAAUUUAGGAAAAUGAAUAAGGGGUUAGUUUAGUCAUUUAGGGGUCUUAUCUACGUUUAACAAACCUUGAAUUAGUUAUCCCUCCAUUUUCUAGGGAUAAGAUAAGACCACAUAUGGUGGAUAAGCAAUCCAUGGAUUAAAAUUAAAUAGAAGUAACCAAACAAUGUAUUAGAUGGACUAAAUUUUAAUCCAUAGAUUAUUCUAUCUAAUACCACCUACCAAACGGGUCCUUAAUAUAUAUACACUUUAUAUGACUUUUGAUUAUUUUUAUAUGACUAUAGUUAUAACAAUCUUACUUUAUUAUAUAUAUUUAAAACUAAUAGCAGUCAACACCACGGACUUCCUUCAAUUUUGAUUUAUUUAUGGGCUCAACAAAAUGGGCUGGUAGAAGUUAGAGCCACUUAUUUGUUCUUUUCCAUCAAAGUUUUGCAAGAUGGAAAAUCCCAAGUAAGGAUUACUUAUCCCUCACCCCAUUAAAAAAAUAUGUAGAUAACAAUAAAUGCUGAUAUUUUAGGCGUACCACGUCACUAGAUCUAGAUAGAGAUAGAUAAGUUCAUACUAUGCAUUAAUAAUAGGAAACUUACAUAAAUAUACUAUAUUAAGAAAAUAUUUAUCAUUUAUAUCAAUAACCGUUUUUUUCACUUGAUCACUUUUAAUACAUUUAUAAAACAGUUUUAAUACAUAUUUCAAAGAACAAUUUAUUAUUCACAUAUAAUACAAAUUUUAUUGAUGGUUACUACCUUUAUCACACAUUUUAAUACACUUAUAAUACAAUGUGUUAAUUUCUUACUAAAUAAACAUAAUAUAUUUUUAAAAACAGUUAUAAUACAUCUAUAUUGCAUACAUAAUUCACUUUCAAUACAUAUUGCAGAUUUAACAUAGUAUUGCUAUAAAUGGUAAUAAAUAAAAAAUAUAGCUAAAAUCAAUAAUUAUUUAUCGGAAAAGGGUAAAAAAUAUCCUUGAACUAUUCGAAAAGGUUCAAAUAUACCCCUCAUCCACCUAUUGGUUAAAAAUACCCCCAGUUCACCUUUUUGAUCCAUUUUUACCCUAAAAACUAACACCUUUUUAUUUUUUAAUUAUUUUUAUUAAUGCUAAUUACAUGGCAUCUUCCUAUUGGAUAAAACUAAAUUCCAACCCAUUAGAUUUUCCUCUACCCACUGACCCAUAUCCAUAGCCCAUAACCCAAAACCCAAUUUAAAAACCCAUUAAAAAUAAAGGAUAUAUUUUAUUUUUUUUGAUGAUAAGGGAAAUCCGCAGCCUCUACCCUUUGGGUGCGCACAGGGUAAAAUCCCCGCUCCUAUGCAAUAGCUCGCAAACCACAUAGGGGAGGUAACCCGCACUAGGCAAGCCCGGUGCGACGAGCUCGACCCAGAAGGCAAACCCCUUGCUUUCGCUGGCAAGGGGUUUCGAACUUGAGACCUCCAACAUGCAUGGAAGUCCCAAGCCCAAACUACUGGGCCAUCCCGAAGGGUUUUAAAAAUAAAAAUAAAUAAAUAAAUAAAUAAAGGAUAUAUUAAUCUCUCUUUCUCCAUUAAUCCUAAUAGCUUCUUGCAGGAAUGAAAAUUGUGUACCAAAAAAAUUUACAUGAAAAACAAUAUACUACACUUAGGGUGUGUUUGGUAUGAAGGAAAAUGUCUUCCAUGAAAAAUGUUUUUCUAGAAAAUAUUUUCCUGGAAAACAAGUAGAUUUUUUACUUAUUUUCUCAUGUUUGGUUGGUGAGUAGAAAAUUAUUUUCGGAAAAGAUUUUGUGUUUGGUUUUAGAAUGAAAAAUGUUUUUGAGAAAUAUCUUUUAUUUUUACUAGAGUAGAAAAUAAUUUUUGAAAUUGAAAAUAUUUUUUAAAAACAAACUUAAAUUUUUUUGGGGUGGGGGGUGGAGGGUGGUAGGGCGUGGGGGGUUGAGGAUAGGGAUGAAAAUUUGAAAUUUUGAAGUUGAAAAUAUUUUUUAAAAACAAACUUAAAUUUUUUUUGGGGNNNNNNNNNNNNNNNNNNNNNNNNNNNNNNNNNNNNNNNNNNNNNNNNNNNNNNNNNNNNNNNNNNNNNNNNNNNNNNNNNNNNNNNNNNNNNNNNNNNNNNNNNNNNNNNNNNNNNNNNNNNNNNNNNNNNNNNNNNNNNNNNNNNNNNNNNNNNNNNNNNNNNNNNNNNNNNNNNNNNNNNNNNNNNNNUUUAUUUUUUGGGGGGAUGGGAGGUUGGGGUGGGUGGCGGGGUUGGAAGAGAGUUUUGGAAAAUGUUUUUCUUAAGUUUUGAAGGGAAGUCAUUUUCCUUAAAUUUGAGAAAAAUGAAUUAAUUUGGAAAAUAUUUUUCAAAACAUUUAACCCAACAAAACAUGAGAAAAUUGGAAAAUAUUUUCCUUCGUACCAAACACACCCUUAAUAUCAAUGAUCACCCACAUGCCUUGGUACAUAAUUAAUCAAUUGAUAAAAAGAGGUUAGCUAACAACUGUAUUUGGGCAUAAUAUUAUGAUAGUUUACUUUCUCCCUGCACCACGGACAACCAAGAACACCACAACUUCUUUUAAAAAAUUGACAGAGACAUGGAUUGCUGAUACGUGGUUUUUAAGAAAGAAACAUAUACAUCAAAUUAAGUUGCUUGAUUCUUUAACUUGGUUCUGAAAUAGCUUCUUCUUUUUUUCACAAUCUUCAAAAGCCAGAAUAAGUUGCUAUUUAUUAGAAGAGUUGCCAUAAAGUCACCUUGAAACGUUAUCAUUACAGCAAAGUUAGAAAAAUACACAAAAAUCAAUCUUAAUCAACUUCAAGCUUUCACAACAGUUGAAGUAGCUGAAAAUGUUGAUGGGUGGUUCUGAAUUAGCUUUAGUGAGAAAGAGAAGUAAAGGGUCUUUCAUUGAGUUUGGGUCAUGGGGCUAUAGCUAUGGGUCGGGGCGGAUGAAGGACAAUUUAAUGGGUUGGAAUUUAGUAUUAUCCAAUUAGAAGAUGCCACGUAACAAAUAAUAAUAAAAAUAAUUAAAAAAUAAAAUGGUGUUAGUUUUAAGGAUUAAAAUGGAUCAAAAAGGUAGACUGAGGGGUAUUUUUAAGAGCAACUUUCACAUAUAGCAAACACAAAAUUCAUAUUUGUAUGCUAUAGCAAAGUUUGCAUAAUUGCGCUCCAUAGCAAACAUGCUAUGACUAGGCUAUUUCGCUAUACAUAUAUACAAAAGAAGCAAUUGUAUAAUUCGUUGGUUCCUCUUCAAAUUUGUAUAAUUUCGCUGGCAGACCAUUUGUAUAUUGUUGUCAGCCUCUCGUUUGUAUAAAUUGUUGAGAGUCUCUCAAUUUAAGUUUAUGUGUUUGUAUAUCUGUAUAAAAUUUGAAUUUGUAUACAAUUGAAUCAAAAUAAAGCGUUUGUAUACCAAAUAUCGUUAUCUUUCUCGCUUUAUACAAACAUAAAUUAUGCAUUGUAUUUUGUAUAAUCUGUGUUUGUAUAAAGUGAGAAACAGAGAAAGGCAAAAGAGAACUAGACAGGGAAAUAUUUGUAUUGUACAAUUAUAAGUGUAUAGGACGAAGAUAUAUGUAUUUGCAUGUGUAUAUACAAUUUUCUCUCGCUUUAUACAAACAGAAACACAAUUUAUACAUUUCUAUUUGUAUAAAGCGAGAGAGGUGAGCGACAGAGAGAGCGAGCUAGAGAGGGAGAGUGGCGAGCGAGAGUUAAACUUAGAUAUAGCCAAAUCGAGUCAACAUUAAAAUGAGAGGGAUAACUAUCGAUUAAUUAUUCGAACUUCUUAAUUUAAACAAGAUGAAAUAAUUAUCAAGAGAUAAGUUCAUUACAUACGAUAGAAAAAUAAGUAUACAAAAUUAUAUAAUCCACUAAUUUAAAGGAAAUAAAUAUGUAUUUAUGCUAAACACUAUUUUAGACUAUUUAUUAAAUAUUUAUAUAAAAGAUGAAAAUUAUAUAAACCAAUAUGUAAAAUUAUAUAAUUAUUUCUGAAAAAUAUUAAGAAAAACUAAUUAGAAAGAGAUUAUAAAAUAGAUAUUUUUUAGGAUUUUUCAAAGACGAUUAUUUCAAAUUGUUUAAAAUUGAAGAAGCUCGAUGAUUAAUUUAUAUUGUGGAGGGUAAAACUUGGGUAUCAACAAUAGGUACUUGUAUAAAACGCUUAAGCUUAUUUGUUUGCACUUAAUAGAGGUUUGAAUAUGAAUGAUUCAUAUAUUAGACCAGCCAUUAAGUGCAUUUGUUUUCAUUAAGAUUUAAGCACUUAAUUGGUCUAAAUAUGCCUUAAUCAUUAAGAUCUAGAAUAGAGUCUUAAUAUCAUUGAGAGACAUUCUUGUGUGGCUAAUAUCCACCAUCACUCUAUCCACAAUCACCGUCCAUCACGACUAACCACCCUUUCUAUCAUAACCACCACAAUUAGCAUUACCGUCAUCAACCACCAACCACAUUUGCCAUUACAAUCACCAUUUUUGCUAACCAUUACUGUCAUUUGCUACCAGGCGUACCUCCUCUAUCAUUACCAGCACCAGCCCCGUCUCUAUAGCCGCCUCCACUUCCAGUACCGCUAUCUACCACUACCUUUACUACAAUCAAUUCUACUACCAACAAACUCCGUCAUCACAACUAUCAUCAUCGUCAACUACCACCAUACAUUCUUCGAUCACCAUCACCACCACUGUCAUCUCCACUACUACUAUUAUAAACUACCAUCACUGUGGUCAAUCUUUACUAGUAACCACCUCCGUCAUCAUAACUAGCACAACCGCCAUUUACCACAAAUACAUCAUCAACCACAACACAUUCUUCAACCACAAUCAUCAAGACAACCAACUACUAACAUCAACCAACUUCACCAUUACAACGAUCAACACCACUACCAAUCACUACCAUUAUGAGAACCACCACAACACCAAUCAUCUCCACCAUCGCAACUAUCACCACAUCAUUACUAGUCACUAACAACUAUUACCAUUACCACCACGACUACAAAUUGUCUCCACCAUCACUAGCAAGUAUAAGUGUUUCUUUUUUUUCAUCAAAUAAUGAUUAAAUUUUAUUAAUUUUAAUAUUUAAUUAAUUUUAUUUAAAUUAUAUAUUUAUUAUAUACGUAGAAUUAAAUAAAUUAUGCACAUUCAUAUGUUGAAAAACAAUCAGUCUUAAUCAUCUAGUGUUCAAAUCUAGAAACAAGAUUUUAAUCAUUCGGAUGUGCAUUCAGAUUCAAAAAUCUAAAUCUUAAUGAAAAUCAUGUCUUAAUAAAAGUGUAAGUAAUGAAUUAAUUUGAAUCAAAAUAAAUAAAUAAAAAUAAUAACUUAAAAAUAAAAUCCAUUUAUAAACAUAAAAGGCCUUAAAAAUCGACGGAAAUUUUUCAUCAACCAAUUUUAACUUUUCCUACACAAAGUCACAUAAAACUAACAAAAACAAUAUAAAGUACUACUCCCUCUAUUUCAAAAAGAAUGAUCUCCUUUCUUUUUUAGUUUGUUUAAAAAAGAAUGACCUAUUUCUUUUUUGGUAACAUUUUACUUUCAGCUUUCCACGUGGCAUGUUUAAGACCACAAGAUUAAAGGACAAUUUUGUACAUUUGACAUAACUUUAAUUUAGGACCACAAGAUUCAAAAGUCUUCUUCAUUUUCUUAAACUUCGUGUCAAGUCAAACUAGGUCACUCUUUUUAAAAUAGAAGGAGUAAUAUGCAACAUGUAAAAAGUAAUCAACAUAACAUAACAAAAUAAUAAAAAUAACCAAAUAUUGGUACAAAUCCAUUUAAUUGUGGAUGUUUCUUUUAAUUUAUCCCUAAUGUAAUGUAUCUAUUUAUUAUAUUUAUUAAAUUUGUACUAACAUAUUUGGUUAAAAGAUGUAAACGGGUGUUUUCUAAAUCCCAUAAAAGGGUCUUCUUUACCCUUGUGAAAUACACACUUCAAGAGAUAAAAAAAAUACUAUCUUCUCUAUACUUUUCAUUAUCAUUUGUCUUCCUUUCUUGUUUAGUAUUAUUGUAUUUUGCCUCAUUUUACAACAAAUAUGAAAAACUAACAACAUAACUAGUUCAAAAUUCUAGAACAGUGCCUAUAAUCAAUCCGAAUAAAUUAAGAGAGGAUAUAUAUAUAUACGUUUUUGAGGCGAGUCCCAGGGAGAGUCUCGGGGCGGGGCAUACCAAAAACGCUAUGGGGCGUAAAUUAAAAACGUAGAUCCAUAAGGCAUAAGUCCUAAAAUUUGAGGUGUAAGUCCCGAGCAUAAAAACGUAAGUCCUAGGCAUAAAAACGUACAUCCGGGCGUUUUUAAUUUUUUUUUUUUGCUUUAAACCAUAUUUUUAUUAUUAGUGUAAUGAUAUUUCUCAAAUAGUAAUUAUAAUACUUUUUUUCUUCAUUAUUGAUUAUUGAUACAUAUCUCAAAUAAAAAUCAUAAUAUAAUUUCCAUAUAUUAUAGGUUAUUUAUAAAAAAUUAUUUGUAAAAUCAUUGAAAGGUUUACUUUUCCUUAUUUUAUUAGUAAUAAAACUAUAAAAUUGAAUAUACAUGAGACUACGCCCCGUAGAUCCAUGGGACUUGUGUCUUGGGGUUUACGUCCCGCCCCGUACAGUAUAAAACGUCUCGCCUCACGCCCCCCUUUAUAUAUAUAUAUAUAUAUAUAUAAUAGAGCAACAAACUGACUAAAUAAAACAAACGAAGAUAAAAUACAACAUAGAAAAUGAAAUUAACACACAGUAGCACAAUGCUAUAAACAUAGUAACUAGAAAACAUGGGAGAUUUUGCAAAACGAUAGCAACAACAAUUAAAAAUACGAACAGACCCACCAACAGUGGAGAUUAGGUUGAAGAUGAUGUUUUACAUUGGCUUUGACAGUUUCCAUGAGCACAAUAUUUUGGUGUGGUCCCACACCAACCAUCGUUACUACAACAUUCUCCGGUAGAACAUGAUGUACCAUCACCAACAUUGACUUUGACAAUAUCCAGGAGCACAAUAUUCUUGUGUGUUUCCACACCAACCCCAUAUACUACAACACAUUCCGUCAAGACAUUUUAGGCCAUGACCUUGCUUUCCACAUUGUACCUGGUUUGAGUACUCGCCAAAGAUUGGGAG